AAAGAGAGCUGUCCGUCGACAGU
ensembl:ncRNA